UUAUACAUUCUCCAUUUGAAAACGGACAGGUUUCCACCUGCAGAGGACCUGAAGUGCUUUAAAUUUGCCAGGGUCACCGUGUGGAAGAUUGCUGCUCACCUGGUUCCCUGAAGGUGUGAAUGACCUGGCGAAUUCCUGCAUUCUGUGUGACGCCCUAACUAGUAAUGUCAUGCCCACCACAAAAGUCCACUGGAAGUAGUCGUGGGUAUAUGCAAUGUAUCGGGCUGGAGCUGAAUGGCUGGUUAGCAACAAAUGGGAUAAAAAUCUGCAACCCAGACAGAGCAUGGUAGCUGCCAAAGAGGCUGGGAUCCACCACAGGUCUAAACAGACAAUGCAGACAAACAGUGGAAGAAAGGAAGUAUUGUUAUGCUUAUUUUACAUUGGGGAACUGAAACACAGAGAGAUUAAAUGAACUGCCUGAGGUCACCCAGGAAAGCUGGAUUGGAGCCCAGAUCACCACAUUUUCAAGCAGCUUCUGGGAUCUGCCCUCUUGACAGACUGCUUCAAACCUUAACCAGCUUCACAAUGGGGAGCAAUGAGGAGCUGUCAGACAGAUGUGCAACUAUGGGGAUGAAGCUUGAAGUCUUGACUCAGGCCCCAAUCCAGGAACUGGAUCCAUUAUCCGAGGCGAGGGAUCUAUAAGUUAAAGGACACCAGGCCAAUCUGCAUGCCCAAAGCUGGAAACAGAUCUUCUACUCUUCUGUUGUUUUAGUUUCUUGCUUUUUUUUGACCCACAAGACUUUCCUUCAGUUACUGCUAUGUAG